rnacentral:rRNA from 1 species
UACGAAGGGGGCUAGCGUUGCUCGGAAUCACUGGGCGUAAAGCGCACGUAGGCGGCUUCUUAAGUCAGGGGUGAAAUCCUGGAGCUCAACUCCAGAACUGCCUUUGAUACUGAGGAUCUCGAGUCCGGGAGAGGUGAGUGGAACUCCGAGUGUAGAGGUGAAAUUCGUAGAUAUUCGGAAGAACACCAGUGGCGAAGGCGGCCCGCUGGACAUGUAUUGACGCUGAGGUGCGAAAGCGUGGGGAGCAAACGGG